ACGAAGGUAAAAACAUGUUACUCAUCUGCAUGUUGCAUGUGUAUAUUUACAGUGUUUAUGGUUUGUACAUGUGUGUCUGUGGGGAUUUUUCUGUAGGCCACUGGAUUUGUAUAAUCUGCUGACGGAAGCCAUCGCAAAUGGAGGGUAUUUUCAUGACAUUCGACAAAAACAAGAAUCACACACUGGAGUACCAAGAAAUCACACAGGCUCUGACAGCAGCAGGCAUAAAGGUGGAUGAUUUCGUACCGCAGCUGAUCAGCCUGCGUUACACAGAGCCAGAUCUGACCAUCAAUUUCCCAGGAUUUCUCUUCCUGGGGCCCGUUUCAGAAAGGAGGUUUAGUGAAAACUCUGAGUAUAUUGACCCUGAAAUGAGGGUUUUCCGUUUCAGAAUGUGAGGUAUGUCAAACCCGAGAAAGCGGGGUAACUCAAGCACGUUUCUAAAGGAGAGGUAACUUAUACUCAGAGUCAGUAACCAUAGUAACUUACUCUAACCUAACCAGGUUUUCUUUGGUAAACCCAGAGUUUAUUUUGAUCUCAUCCCCCUUUUAAAGUGCAAGUGGUGUAACUCAUUCAUUCAUUCAUUAAUACAGUCAUUCAUGGCACACAUUUUGAUCACACAGAGACCAUCUCAGUGACUUAUAUGUCAUAUGCGCUUUUAUAGAGGAUUCAUGAAGAGGCUGCAUUAAUUCAUUGGGAUGUACCUUGAUUUCAGCAAUUUAGGACCCGAGUGGAAUUUUGUCAUUUCCCUUUGCAUUUUUAUUAAAACUGUACCGCUUUUCUUUACAGUGAAUUAGAUAUAUCAAAAUAUAUCUCAUCCAUCCUUACAUCAAUAACAUCAGCCACCGUACGUGUAUUACAUCAUUUUCUACAGACGAUGAGAAAUGACGUAAUAAGUGUGUAAAUAAAGUGCAUGAAUAAAGAAAUUAAUAAAUACAGACAUACAUGCAGACAUGAAGCGAUAAAGGUAAUAAACAAGUAAUUUAGACGUGCAGCCAUUAUAACUGAAAUCUGUUCAGAGCAGGGUUCGAACCGACGAUCAGUCUAAUUUUGCCCGAGAGUCUGAUGCCCUACAGGUGUCCUAUACACCAUGUCGUCUCAUUUGCGUAACUAGAGCAGUCAUGGCGAGUGAGAACAUACGAUUUUUUUUAUUAUUUCUGUUUCAUUCAUUUAAUGAUUAAGUUGUUUGUUUAUUGGUACAUUUAUCUAUUUAUUAAUUUAAACUUAAGUCAUUUUCAGGACAUCAGUAAAUCCACUGUAUGCAGAGCGUAAAGUGUGCCUCACUCUCAAGUGCUGUCUGCCGCCAUGUUGCUUUUUUUGGUGCCGUUGCCAUGGUGAAUCAUAAUAUCGGAGCUCCAUUGAUGAUGUCUUUUUAUAUUCGUGGUGCACAUGCUUAACCCAGGGUAAGCCUACCCAGAGUAAAUUGAACUAACUCAAAUCAGCUGUUCUGAAACCAAAAACUCAAAGUUUCUCAUUUCUAAGUAAACCAACUCUGAGUUCAAGGUUUAACCUAGGGUUGGUUUAACCUCCUUAUUGAUACGGGCCCCAGCUCCUCAAACUGGACUGCAUGAUCAGUAAUUUUCGGUCCUUUGAUAUCGUGGGGGUGGGAAUGAUUACAAUCAAAUGCCAUCAGUUCUUGACUAUGACCAUGUACAACUGAACUCAUACCAGCUGUGGGAUCUCGUGUGGAGCUACUGUUCACAACAUCUUCAUCUGUUCUUGUUCCAGCCCCCCGAAGAGUCCGACUAUUAACCUUAGUUUACAUGUCAGGGUCUACAGUAUAUCACACAGAAGAUGAAAGACACGUCAUGAAUGUGCUUCACUGAAUCAUUUUACUAUGAAAAUUAGGCGUCCUUAACAUUUCUCGUUUCUGCAUGUUGACAUCAGUUUUUAUUGCUUCAGAUUUAACCAAAUGUUUCUAAUUCAUGCCAUUUACACAAUUGUGAUUUAUUUCAUAACGUUUCCCUCCUCGUCUGUGCCGGUGGCCUGUUCUGAAUCCAUUU